GGAGAGUUGCCGGAGUGGUCGAACGGGACGGUCUCGAAAACCGUUGUACGCCUCGCGUACCCAGGGUUCGAAUCCCUGACUCUCCGCCA
rnacentral:tRNA from 1 species